AUUGAACGCUAGCGGGAUGCUUUACACAUGCAAGUCGAACGAGUGGCGGACGGGUGAGUAACAUAUCGGAACGGGACCAGUAGCGGGGGAUAACUACACGAAAGAGGGGCUAAUACCGCAAACUAUGGGAGCGGCCGAUAUAGGAUUAGCUAGUUGGUGGGGUAAAGGCUCACCAAGGCAACGAUCCGUAGCUGGUUUGAGAGGACGACCAGCCACACUGGGACUGAGACACGGCCCAGACUCCUACGGGAGGCAGCAGUGGGGAAUUUUGGACAAUGGGGGAAACCCUGAUCCAGCCAUCCCGCGUGUAUGAGAAGGCCUUCGGGUUGUAAAGUACUUUUGGCAGAGAAGCGGUAUCUGCAGAAUAAGCACCGGCUAACUACGUGCCAGCAGCCGCGGUAAUAC
rnacentral:rRNA from 1 species